CGUGGCCCCUCAGUCCCUGAUGGGGCUAGUGUAGAACUCAAGUGUCAAGGACUGCUUGUUGGUGAAACUGUGACUGUCAGUCUGUCUAAAGGCCCUUUGGUUCUUUGUGAGGUGACAAUUAAAGGGUACAGAUAUAAAGAGUGUGCUAAUAAAAAAUAUGGUCCUGAAUGUCGAAGCAGAUGUAACUGUAAGGAUGAGAAUGAACAAUGCCAUUCUGCGACUGGGUCUUGUGUUUCUGGUUGUGCAGUGGGAUGGUACGGCCGACACCAAGGGGAUUGUGAAAUAGCAAGCCCAUACAUCGCUACAGCCCCAACAAUAGUUUCGAGGACAAAACAUUCAGUCACCAUCAGGUGGGAAAAGUGGUCACCCGAGAAAAACCAAGGAAUUGGCACCAUC